rnacentral:rRNA from 1 species
GGCGAACGCUGGCGGCGUGCUUAACACAUGCAAGUCGAACGGUGAAGGGAUCAGCUUGCUGGUUCUGGAUGAGUGGCGAACGGGUGAGUAACACGUGAGUAACCUGCCCCCUUCUUCUGGAUAACCGCAUGAAAGUGUGGCUAAUACGGGAUAUUCUGCGCCUGCUGCAUGGUGGGUGUGGGAAAGAUAUUGUUUCGGUGGGGGAUGGGCUCGCGGCCUAUCAGCUUGUUGGUGGGGUGAUGGCCUACCAAGGCGGUGACGGGUAGCCGGCCUGAGAGGGGGGACGGUCACACUGGGACUGAGACACGGCCCAGACUCCUACGGGAGGCAGCAGUGGGGAAUAUUGCACAAUGGGCGCAAGCCUGAUGCAGCGACGCCGCGUGAGGGAUGGAGGCCUUCGGGGUGUGAACCUCUUUCGCCAGUGAAGCAGGCCUGUCCCUUGUGGGUGGGUUGACGGUAGCUGGAUAAGAAGCGCCGGCUAACUACGUG